GGAGGGGGCAAGCGUUAUUCAUCAUAAUUGGGCGUAUAGGGUACGUAGGCUGUUUUUAAAGUUUAAAGUGAAAUACUAAGGCUUAACCUUAGAACGCUUUCUAUGUUUCUAAAAACUUGAGUUAAAGUAAGGUUAGUGGUACUCUCAGUGUAGAGGUGGAAUUCGUAAAAAUUGAAGGGGACCACCAUCGGGCGAAGGCGACUAACUGGCUUUAACUGACGCUGAUGUACGAAAGCACAGGUAGCAAACAGGAUUAGAUACCCUGGUAGUCUGUGCUGUAAUCGAUGAAUGUUGAGUGUUAUUUUUAGAUGCUUAAGCUAACGCGUUAAACAUUCCGCCUGAGGACUACGGUCGCAAGAUUA
rnacentral:rRNA from 1 species